rnacentral:rRNA from 1 species
CCUACGGGUGGCUGCAGUGGGGAAUAUUGGACAAUGGGGGCAACCCUGAUCCAGCCAUGCCGCGUGUGUGAAGAUGGCCCUCGGGUUGUAAAGCACUUUCAGUGAGGAAGAACGCCUGGUGGUUAAUACCCAUCAGGAAAGACAUCACUCACAGAAGAAGCACCGGCUAACUCCGUGCCAGCAGCCGCGGUAAUACGGAGGGUGCGAGCGUUAAUCGGAAUUACUGGGCGUAAAGCGCGCGUAGGUGGCUUGAUAAGCCGGUUGUGAAAGCCCCGGGCUCAACCUGGGAACGGCAUCCGGAACUGUCAAGCUAGAGUGCAGGAGAGGAAGGUAGAAUUCCCGGUGUAGCGGUGAAAUGCGUAGAGAUCGGGAGGAAUACCAGUGGCGAAGGCGGCCUUCUGGACUGACACUGACACUGAGGUGCGAAAGCGUGGGUAGCAAACAGGAUUAGAUACCCUUGUAGUC